UCUGGUUGAUCCUGCCAGAGGUCACUGCUAUCGGGGUUCGACUAAGCCAUGCAAGUCGAGAGGGGUCAAGCCCUCGGCGUACUGCUCAGUAACACGUGGACAACCUGCCCUAGGGUGGGGGAUAACCCCGGGAAACUGGGGAUAAUACCCCAUAGGCUACGGAGGCUGGAAUGCCCUGUAACCCAAAGCUCCGGCGCCCUAGGAUGGGUCUGCGGCUGAUUAGGUUGUUGUUGGGGUAACGGCCCAACAAGCCGAUCAUCAGUACGGGUUGUGGGAGCAAGAGCCCGGAGAUGGAUUCUGAGACAUGAAUCCAGGCCCUACGGGGCGCAGCAGGCGCGAAAACUUUACAAUGCGGGAAACCGUGAUAAGGGAACUCCGAGUGCCUGUAAUGACAGGCUGUUCAGGUGCUUAAAACACAUCUGGAGAAAGGGCCGGGCAAGACCGGUGCCAGCCGCCGCGGUAAUACCGGCGGCUCGAGUGGUGGCCACUAUUACUGGGCUUAAAGCGUCCGUAGCCGGGAUGUUAAGUCCCUUGGGAAAUCUGACGGCUCAACCGUCAGGCGUUCAAGGGAUACUGGCAUUCUAGGGACCGGGGGAGGUGAGAGGUACUUCAGGGGUAGGAGUGAAAUCCUGUAAUCCUUGGGGGACCACCUGUGGCGAAGGCGUCUCACCAGAACGGCUCCGACGGUGAGGGACGAAAGCUGGGGGAGCAAACCGGAUUAGAUACCCGGGUAGUCCCAGCUGUAAACGAUGCGCGUUAGGUGUAUCGGUGACUACGAGUUACCGAGGUGCCGAAGGGAAACCGUGAAACGUGCCGCCUGGGAAGUACGGUCGCAAGGCUGAAACUUAAAGGAAUUGGCGGGGGAGCA
rnacentral:rRNA from 1 species